rnacentral:tRNA from 1 species
GGGAAUGUGGCUUAAUGGUAGAGUGCUUGCCUAGAAUGCAGGAAGCCCUGGAUUCAAUUCCUUAGUACCA